UACGUAGGGUGCGAGCGUUGCCCGGAUUUAUUGGGCGUAAAGGGCGCGCAGGCGGCCACGCACGUCCGUUGUGAAAUCGCUCGGCUCAACUGGGCGGGGUCAGCGGAUACGGCGUAGCUGGAGCAAGCUAGGGGGCAAUGGAAUUCCCGGUGUAGUGGUGGAAUGCGUAGAUAUCGGGAGGAACACCAGUGGCGAAGGCGGUUGCCUGGAGCUUUGCUGACGCUGAGACGCGAAAGCGUGGGGAGCAAACAGG
rnacentral:rRNA from 1 species